GUAUUUGGUCUUUAUACAAAGCAUUGCAUCAGCGACAAAGUCCAAAAAUAAUAAUGUGGCGUUUGUUUGUUUUGGGGAUACUGUUUGGGAGAUCAGAUGCUGAAGAGCCCUCUUGCCCAGUAUGUUCCAGAUAUGACUACGAAGUACAACUGCUAGAGCGAGUGCUUAGCAAUGAGAUGGCACUGAAAAACACAUUGGACAAAAUAACUGAAACACACUCAAAAGUUGAAGACACUUUGAAAGCAAUAAAGGCAGAGAAUAUCAAACUCAACGACGCUAUGACUGAAUUGGACAUAAAGAAGAAAGACAUUGAUACUAAGCUUGCGAGUGCCAUCAAGCCGGGAUGACACAAGUCUUCGACACUGUUUCCGAAAUGAAAACAACUGUGCAGGCUAUUGUUCAGGAAACGGAAUCAAAGAUGCAGGUUCUUGAGGAUAAAGUAAGCAGUUUCAUCGAAAUUGGUUUUAGGAAUGUUUCCGAAACGUUUGAGGAAAUGACAAAAACAGUCCAGUCACUUGUUGCACAGACAGCGACGGAAAUAAAUGUGACGAGAGAGAAAAGUGUCGCGGCACUGGUAAUGUUUAGCGCUCAAUUAUUUCAUUACGACAGUCAAUAUACAUUAACUGUCAGCCAUGACAUUGUGUUUCAAUACAUUCUGGUCAACGAAGGAAGAUCUUAUAACUCUGCAAAUGGACGCUUCACGGCGUCCGUAGCUGGGGUGUACAUGUUCACCGUGCAGUACUGUCCAUACACGAACAAGAAGAUUUACCUUGAUAUCGUUCAUGCAGGAAGAUCGUUACAGUGCUCAACAAACUGGGAGAGAGAUGAUAUCGUCUGUGCCAGUAUGCAGGCCUUUGCAAAGGUUGCCGUGGGAGAUACAAUCUCUGUGCGGAGUAGACAUUCUGGUAUCCUCUACCAUAACAGCAAUUCUUGGAACAGCUUUUCUGGUUUACUGAUUCGUGUGUAAUGUUCUGUUUGCAAGUUUGUGUGCGACUAAAUAAUAAUGCGAAGAAAAUAAGAAAUAUUCUCAUAUUGGUGCAUGUAUUAAGUUGCAUGCACACAUAUUGUGCUUGAUUAUGCAUGUAAAUGCUUGUGGUAUUAUGCUAAAACAUUCCAGUUCUUAUUGGGUAUUCAUAUCUUAUUUACCAUAUUAAUUAUCUCGGAUGUUUGCGGUUUAUGAAGAGUAUACAUCUUACAAUAUGUUGUUAACCACUGCAAAUGCAUUAACACAAAUCUUGAAUGUUUAAAAUGACAUAGGGACAACUAAUUGGCGUCGCACUGAAGUGCGGCGACUAGUAUGUAAUACGUUUUUUUUUCGCUUAUGGGAGGAGAAGUUAUUUUAAGGAUCAAUGUAUAUAUUUUUGUUGUCAGAAUAUCUUGCAUAGUGGUGAUUUUUGUGUGUAAAUUAGUGUAAAUAAGUACUGCAUUUGUGCCUAUCACAUUUACUACAACAUUUAUUGCCAAUAAUGCAAAGCUCAUUCUUUUAAUUAAUAACUGAUCACAGGGACUGGGCAAUAAUGAAAGAUCACAGGAACAGGGCAAAUACGCGAACCGGUGAAACUUUCUGGUUUUGUAUAAAAACAAAACUUCUUUGUUCCACUAUACUAGCAACCACCUAGUAACUAAUAAAGGCGCUUUAGAGCGCGAAGCGCGACACGUAUUAUUAAUUGUAAAAAUAAUGAGUCUUGAUAAAGGAAGCAGCCGCUUAUCAAUGAGGAGAACCAUCACAGCACCCCAGUCUCAUUACUAUCAAGUCCUCCUACAGGUUUUUUUUAAGAACCACACAUAGAAGGCCGCAGGCCUGACCCGUAUCUUGCCAGUGGUAUGGACCCUUUGGUAUGGACCUUUAACCCCGCUCACUAUCCAGCGUUUAAACUUCCAGGUUUACAUUUAAACCGACUAUUAAUAGCUUAUUAAUAUCUUAGUUAGAAGGUGAUUUUUCAUGCGGUUCCGUAGUGUAGUGGUUACACGCUCGCGUGUAAGGGAGAGGGUGGGGGGUCGUAAACACAUUAAAACUAUGAGUACUUAACCCCUAUCGUAAAUGAGCAACGUAAGAAUAAGUUCAGAAUCAUCUCCCCUUGAAUUUGAGAAAAUUAUGAAAUUACAUUUAAAAGAUGAAGCAGAUUUUUUAAAACCUACACAGUUCUGUUCCAUUUAUGAAAACUGCACACGGAUGCCAGUAAAAAAGGAAAACAAAGUAAAUAAAAUGAACUAUGAAAUACUUGGGGGUUACAACACAAAAUCAUAGAUAAUGGUUAUUUGGGGGUUAUAACACAACAUCAUAGAUAAUGGUUAUUUGGGGGUUAUAACACAAAAUCAUAGAUAAUGGUUAUACCAGUAUCUUUUUCUAUUUUGUUUAAAAUAAUCGGCAAAUAUAUUAAUAUUUACAGUAGAAAAAAAUCGUUACAUGUAACUUCAUUGAGUGCCUUUUACACUGAAAUUCCCGACGCCCUUUGAUGCUUUGCAUCAAUACUUAUCUUGUAUUACAUUGUAAUAAAACAUUUAUUAUUAUCUCUCAUUACUUGACUUAAUAAUUCAUUUAUUCAUAGAUCUGACCUUGGUUAGCACAUAGUGAAAUUUAUCUUUCAUGUAGUUUGAUUCCAGGACACUACCAGGAUGCGGGAAAAUCACUUGUGGUGGAAAUCUCGUUAGGGAAGAUAUUUGCAAAAAUACCACCAUAGACAUGUACGCUCAUUGAUAUAUUUCAUAUUGUAUAUUGUACUAUAACGUUGUUAAAUUCGAAUUGUAGUUUUCAAUUGUUUCCGAAUACGUUCGUAUUGGAUUUGACUGGUUUUGAGGUGCAAUUAUUAUUGAUUGGCAAAAGGCAAUAAUUUUUCCGUGAAUCUAUAAUAAGGCUCGUGGCACAUUGAUAGAGGUUAAUAAUAGUUGAUUAGUGUUCAUUGAACGUGUAAUUUUGUUCAAUGAUCACUCCUUUAAAUUUUUGAUUAACCGAAAUAAAAGUACGGACAAAUAUAAUAUAACUGUACAUGCA